rnacentral:rRNA from 1 species
CCUACGGGGGGCUGCAGUAGGGAAUAUUGGGCAAUGGGCGAGAGCCUGACCCAGCCAUGCCGCGUGCCGGACGAAGGCCCUCUGGGUUGUAAACGGCUUUUACCCUUGAAGAACGGUGGGGAUGCGUCCUCAUGUGACGGUAGAGGGGGAAUCAGCACCGGCUAACUCCGUGCCAGCAGCCGCGGUAAUACGGAGGGUGCAAGCGUUGUCCGGAUUUAUUGGGUUUAAAGGGUGCGUAGGUGGGCGCUUAAGUCUGGUCUGAAAGCUGGGGGCUU